UACGGAGGGUGCAAGCGUUAUCCGGAUUUACUGGGUUUAAAGGGUGCGUAGGUGGGUCUGUAAGUCAGUGGUGAAAUCUCCGAGCUUAACUCGGAAACUGCCAUUGAUACUAUAGGUCUUGAAUUAUCUGGAGGUAAGCGGAAUAUGUCAUGUAGCGGUGAAAUGCGUAGAGAUGUGGAGGAACACCAGUGGCGAAGGCGACUUUCUGGUCUGUAACUGACGCUGAGGCGCGAAAGCGUGGGGAGCAAACAGG
rnacentral:rRNA from 1 species